rnacentral:rRNA from 1 species
GACGAACGCUGGCGGCGUGCUUAACACAUGCAAGUCGAACGAAGUGGCGAACGGGUGAGUAACGCGUAAUCAACCUGCCCUUCAGAGGGGGACAACAGGUGGAAAGGACGGCUAAUACCGCAUAAUGAAGGAGGGGAUGGCGUCUGAUUAGCUAGUUGGCGGGGUAACGGCCAACCAAGGCGAUUAUCUGUCGCCGGUCUGAGAGGAUGAACGGCCACAUUGGGACUGAGACACGGCCCAGACUCGUUCGGGAGGCAGCAGUGGGGAAUCUUCCGCAAUGGACGAAAGUCUGACGGAGCAACGCCGCGUGAGUGAUGACGGCCUUCGGGUUGUAAAGCUCUGUUAAUCGGGACGCGGUACCGGAAUAGAAAGCCACGGCUAACUACGUGCCAGCAGCCGCGGUAAUUC